rnacentral:rRNA from 1 species
GGGUUGUGAGGUUAAGCGACUAAGCGUACACGGUGGAUGCCCUGGCAGUCAGAGGCGAUGAAGGACGUGCUAAUCUGCGAUAAGCGUCGGUAAGGUGAUAUGAACCGUUAUAACCGGCGAUUUCCGAAUGGGGAAACCCAGUGUGAUUCGUCACACUAUCGUUAACUGAAUACAUAGGUUAACGAAGCGAACCGGGGGAACUGAAACAUCUAAGUACCCCGAGGAAAAGAAAUCAACCGAGAUUCCCCCAGUAGCGGCGAGCGAACGGGGAGCAGCCCAGAGUCUGAAUCAGCUUGUGUGUUAGUGGAACGGUCUGGAAAGUCCGACGGUACAGGGUGAUAGUCCCGUACACCAAAAUGCACAGGUUGUGAACUCGAAGAGUAGGGCGGGACACGUGGUAUCCUGUCUGAAUAUGGGGGGACCAUCCUCCAAGGCUAAAUACUCCUGACUGACCGAUAGUGAACCAGUACCGUGAGGGAAAGGCGAAAAAGAACCCCGGCGAGGGGAGUGAAAAAAGAACCUGAAACCGUGUACGUACAAGCAGUGGGAGCCUCUUUAUGGGGUGACUGCGUACCUUUUGUAUAAUGGGUCAGCGACUUAUAUUCUGUAGCAAGGUUAACCGUAUAGGGGGAGCCGAAGGGAAACCGAGUCUUAACUGGGCGUUAAGUUGCAGGGUAUAGACCCGAAACCCGGUGAUCUAGCCAUGGGCAGGUUGAAGGUUGGGUAACACUAACUGGAGGACCGAACCGACUAAUGUUGAAAAAUUAGCGGAUGACUUGUGGCUGGGGGUGAAAGGCCAAUCAAACCGGGAGAUAGCUGGUUCUCCCCGAAAGCUAUUUAGGUAGCGCCUCGUGAACUCAUCUUCGGGGGUAGAGCACUGUUUCGGCUAGGGGGUCAUCCCGACUUACCAACCCGAUGCAAACUGCGAAUACCGAAGAAUGUUAUCACGGGAGACACACGGCGGGUGCUAACGUCCGUCGUGAAGAGGGAAACAACCCAGACCGCCAGCUAAGGUCCCAAAGUCAUGGUUAAGUGGGAAACGAUGUGGGAAGGCACAGACAGCCAGGAUGUUGGCUUAGAAGCAGCCAUCAUUUAAAGAAAGCGUAAUAGCUCACUGGUCGAGUCGGCCUGCGCGGAAGAUGUAACGGGGCUAAACCAUGCACCGAAGCUGCGGCAGCGACACUAUGUGUUGUUGGGUAGGGGAGCGUUCUGUAAGCCGUUGAAGGUGUGCUGUGAGGCAUGCUGGAGGUAUCAGAAGUGCGAAUGCUGACAUAAGUAACGAUAAUGCAGGUGAAAAACCCGCACGCCGGAAGACCAAGGGUUCCUGUCCAACGUUAAUCGGGGCAGGGUGAGUCGACCCCUAAGGCGAGGCCGAAAGGCGUAGUCGAUGGGAAACAGGUUAAUAUUCCUGUACUUGGUGUUACUGCGAAGGGGGGACGGAGAAGGCUAUGUUAGCCGGGCGACGGUUGUCCCGGUUUAAGCAUGUAGGCGGAGGUUCCAGGUAAAUCCGGUACCUUUUUAACGCUGAGGUGUGAUGACGAGGCACUACGGUGCUGAAGUAACAAAUGCCCUGCUUCCGGGAAAAAGCCUCUAAGCAUCAGGUAACACGAAAUCGUACCCCAAACCGACACAGGUGGUCAGGUAGAGAAUACCAAGGCGCUUGAGAGAACUCGGGUGAAGGAACUAGGCAAAAUGGUGCCGUAACUUCGGGAGAAGGCACGCUGAUAUGUAGGUGAAGUGAUUUACUCAUGGAGCUGAAAUCAGUCGAAGAUACCAGCUGGCUGCAACUGUUUAUUAAAAACACAGCACUGUGCAAACACGAAAGUGGACGUAUACGGUGUGACGCCUGCCCGGUGCCGGAAGGUUAAUUGAUGGGGUUAUCCGUAAGGAGAAGCUCUUGAUCGAAGCCCCGGUAAACGGCGGCCGUAACUAUAACGGUCCUAAGGUAGCGAAAUUCCUUGUCGGGUAAGUUCCGACCUGCACGAAUGGCGUAAUGAUGGCCAGGCUGUCUCCACCCGAGACUCAGUGAAAUUGAACUCGCUGUGAAGAUGCAGUGUACCCGCGGCAAGACGGAAAGACCCCGUGAACCUUUACUAUAGCUUGACACUGAACACUGGUCCUUGAUGUGUAGGAUAGGUGGGAGGCUUUGAAGUGUGGACGCCAGUCUGCAUGGAGCCAUCCUUGAAAUACCACCCUUUAAUGGCUGGUGUUCUAACGUGGACCCGUUACCCGGGUUGCGGACAGUGUCUGGUGGGUAGUUUGACUGGGGCGGUCUCCUCCUAAAGAGUAACGGAGGAGCACGAAGGUUAGCUAAUCCUGGUCGGACAUCAGGAGGUUAGUGCAAAGGCAUAAGCUAGCUUGACUGCGAGAGUGACGGCUCGAGCAGGUGCGAAAGCAGGUCUUAGUGAUCCGGUGGUUCUGAAUGGAAGGGCCAUCGCUCAACGGAUAAAAGGUACUCCGGGGAUAACAGGCUGAUACCGCCCAAGAGUUCAUAUCGACGGCGGUGUUUGGCACCUCGAUGUCGGCUCAUCACAUCCUGGGGCUGAAGUAGGUCCCAAGGGUAUGGCUGUUCGCCAUUUAAAGUGGUACGCGAGCUGGGUUUAGAACGUCGUGAGACAGUUCGGUCCCCUAUCUGCCGUGGGCGCUGGAGAAUUGAGGGGGGCUGCUCCUAGUACGAGAGGACCGGAGUGGACGCAUCACUGGUGUUCGGGUUGUCAUGCCAAUGGCAUUGCCCGGUAGCUAAAUGCGGAAGAGAUAAGUGCUGAAAGCAUCUAAGCACGAAACUUGCCCCGAGAUGAGUUCUCCCUGAGACUAUAAGUCUCCUGAAGGAACGUUGAAGACGACGACGUUGAUAGGUCGGGUGUGUAAGUGUAGCGAUACAUUGAGCUAACCGAUACUAAUGAACCGUGAGGCUUAACCUUACAACGCCGAAG